AAAGUGGAGAAAUAGUUCUGCUAGGCUAAUGCUACCUCUGUUCAUGUUAUUUGCAUGUUUCUUUCUUUCCCUUUUUUUCCUUCUUUUCUUCUUUUUCUAGGACUUCUUUUGAUGUGCCUGGGAUGUACAUACCGACCGGAAG
rnacentral:ribozyme from 1 species